rnacentral:rRNA from 1 species
GUAAUAGCUCACUAGUCAAGCGACGUGGCGCCGACAAUAAUCGGGACUCAAACUAUUUACCGAAGCUAUGGCAUUGACUAUUAACUUAGUCAUUGGGUAGGGGAGCAUUCUGAUCUGCGUUGAAGGUGGUGGCGCGAGCCCUGCUGGAGCGUUCAGAAGAGAAGAUGUAGGCAUAAGUAACGAGAACGCAUGUGAGAAUCAUGCGCACCGAAAAUCUAAGGUUUCCUGAGCUACGUUCAUCGUCUCAGGGUUAGCCGGGUCCUAAGUCGAGGCCGAAAGGCGUAGAUGAUGGAUAAUCAGUUAAUAUUCUGAUGCUUGUCUGUAUGAGUUUGAUGUCAAGGAGGGACCCAGAAGUGAACCACCCGCGCACGAUUGGAUGUGCGUUGAAGGUCGUAGGCGUUGAGAGGCGUAGGCAAAUCCGCGCUUUGAGCUGAAAGCUGACAGUACGGGGAGUUUCGACAAACCGAGUGGUGUCUAAUCAGGCUGGCGAGAAAAUCUUCGUGACUAUUAUACAGGCGAUCCGUACCGUAAACCGACACAGGUAGAUGGGUUGAAUAUACUAAGGUGCUCGAGUGAGCCGUGGUUAAGGAACUCGGCAAAUUGACCCUGUAACUUCGGGAUAAAGGGUGCCCUCGCAAGAGGGUCGCAGUGAAAUGGGCCAACCGACUGUUUAACAAAAACACAUCUCUAUGCCAACCCCAUUGAGGGGAUGUAUAUGGAGUGACACCUGCCCGGUGCUGGAAGGUUAAGGAAGGGGGUCAGCCGCAAGGCGAAGCUUUCGACCGAAGCCCCAGUAAACGGCGGCCGUAACUAUAACGGUCCUAAGGUAGCGAAAUUCCUUGUCGGGUAAGUUCCGACCUGCACGAAUGGUGUAACGAGUUGGCCACUGUCUCAACCACGGGCUCGGUGAAUUUGUGGUACCGGUGAAGACGCCGGUUUCCCGCAUAUGGACGGAAAGACCCUAUGCACCUUUACUGCACCCUGGCAUUGACUUCGGUUGAUGCAUGCGUAGCAUAGGUGGGAGUCAUUGAAGCGGAGGCUUUGGCUUUCGUGGAGACAACAGUGAAAUACCACCCUUGCUUUAAUUGAAUUCUAACCCGACUCCGUGAAACCGGAGGGGGAACAGUGUCAGGCGGGUAGUUUGACUGGGGCGGUCGCCUCCUAAAUUGUAACGGAGGCUCUCAAAGGUACUCUCAGCAUGGUCGGUAAUCAUGCGCAGAGCGUAAACGUAUAAGAGUGCUUAACUGUGAGACAUACACGUCGAGCAGAUGCGAAAGCAGGAGUUAGUGAUCCGGUGGUUCCGUAUGGAAGGGCCAUCGCUCAAAGGAUAAAAGGUACGCUAGGGAUAACAGGCUGAUCUUGCCCAAGAGUCCACAUCGACGGCAAGGUUUGGCACCUCGAUGUCGGUUCAUCGCAUCCUGGGGCUGAAGAAGGUCCCAAGGGUUUGGCUGUUCGCCAAUUAAAGCGGUACGUGAACUGGGUUCAGAACGUCGUGAGACAGUUCGGUCCCUAUCCUAUGCGGGCGCAGGAGAUUUGAGGAGCCUCGAUCUUAGUACGAGAGGACCGGAUUGACCGGACCGACGGUGUAUCUGUUGUCACGCCAGUGGCAUUGCAGAGUAGCCAUGUCCGGAAAGGAUAAGCGCUGAAAGCAUCUAAGCACGAAACCUACUCCAAGAUGAGAUCUCCCUGAAGACUCGUAGUAGACUACUACGUUGAUAGGACCACGGUGUAAGCGUAGUAAUACGUUCAGCCAACGGUUACUAAUAAGUCGUUCGACUUCAUUUU